GAUGCCCUUGGUGGAAAGGCGCAAGCCGCUUCGGGAGGGGCCUGCGGCCCAUCAGCUAGUUGGCAGGGUAAUGGCCUACCAAGGCGACGACGGGUAGGGGUCCUGAGAGGGUGGCCCCCCACACUGGCACUGACACACGGGCCAAACUCCUACGGGAGGCAGCAGUGAGGAAUAUUGCUCAAUGGGCGAAAGCCUGAAGCAGCAACGCCGCGUGCGCGAUGAAGGCCUUCGGGUCGUAAAGCGCUUUUGAGAGGGACGAGAUAGGACGGUACCUCUGGAAUAAGUCACGGCUAACUACGUGCCAGCAGCCGCGGUAAAACGUAGGUGGCAAGCGUUAUCCGGAUUCACUGGGCGUAAAGCGCGUGCAGGUGGCCUCGUAAGUUGGACGUUAAAUCUCCCGGCCUAACCGGGAGGGGUCGUUCAAUACUGCGGGGCUGGAGGGCAGAAGAGGGGGGUGGAAUUGCUGGUGUAGUGGUGAAAUGCGUAGAUAUCAGCAGGAACACCUGUGGCGAAAGCGGCCCCCUGGUCUGCUCCUGACACUCAGACGCGAAAGCUAGGGGAGUGAACGGGAUUAGAAACCCCGGUAAUCCUAGCCGUAAACGAUGGAUGCUAGGUGUGGGUGGUAUUGACCCCAUCCGUGCCGAAGCUAACGCGUUAAGCAUCCCGCCUGGGGACUACGGCCGCAAGGUUAAAACUCAAA
rnacentral:rRNA from 1 species